AGGGAGGGAGAGAGAGGAAGAGGGAAGGGGAGAAAGAGGCCGAGAGAAGGAGAAAUAUCAAAACGGGGGUGAAACCAUGCCGGUCCUCCGCUGGUAUAGUUCGGUACGCUCCGAACCGGACGGUUCAGAAUGGUGCCACCUUUCUUGAUUUUUUAUAAUAUAUUUUUAUUAUAUUACUAUGAAGCAUUUAUAUUUCUACAAUAAUGUUGUACAAUACUAAUAUUAUAUAAUAAUAUAAUAUUAAUAUAAUAUUAUUGUUACACAAAAUAUUGUUACUUGAUAUACGUAUUUAAAAUAUUAAUGUUAUAACACGAAACAUAUCCAUAUAAUGUAUUUUAUUUAUUAUAUUUUAUAAUAAUUAAUAUACUAUAAUACUAUAAUAUUAUAAUAUGUAAUAUAUAUUAUGAAUCUUUAAUAUUGAAAUUAAAUUUUAAAUAUUAAUUAAAUCAUAUGAAAUGUACUAUAGUAGGUAGUUUUUUUUUUUUUUUGCUAAAACGGGCAACUCAUACUACUCGGGUACGAACACACCCAACAGAAUCUGCAUCAAAAGGUCCCGGAAUGCUCCAGGCACGUCAUCCCCACCACCCAAAAGGUGCCUCCUGAGUGGCUCGCAACAUACGCCGCCACCCAGUCUGCCGCCCCAUUCGCCUCACGAUAUAGAUGCAUAACCUGAAAGGAAAACCCCUCACUCACCAUCAACCAUAUAUCACGGAGUAAAGGGUGAACUCCUCCAUCACUAUGAGGGCCCUUCCGGAUCCAACUAAUCACGGUGGCUGAGUUACCCUCCAGGAAGAUGGAGCUCGCCUGAAGUACCUGUCGUGCAUACCGUAAUCCCAUCCAAGCCGCCGCAGCUCUGCCCCUGGGACCGAGGUAUCGAAGAUCUGACAACCCCCUGCUGCCACCAUGUUGGAGCUUGGGCCCCUAAUAACAAAACCUGCUCC
rnacentral:lncRNA from 1 species